UACAGAGGUCUCAAGCGUUUGUUCGGAUUCAUUGGGCGUAAAGGGUGCGUAGGCGGCGUGGUAAGUCGGAUGUGAAAUCUCGGAGCUUAACUCCGAAACUGCAUUCGAUACUGCCGUGCUUGAGGACUGGAGAGGAGACUGGAAUUUACGGUGUAGCGGUGAAAUGCGUAGAUAUUGGGAGGAACACCAGUGGCGAAGGCGGCUCACUGGACCGGUUCUGACGCUGAGGCGCGAAAGCGUGGGAGCAAACGGG
rnacentral:rRNA from 1 species